UACGUAGGUGGCGAGCGUUAUCCGGAAUGAUUGGGCGUAAAGGGUGCGCAGGCGGUCCUGCAAGUCUGGAGUGAAACGUAUGAGCUCAACUCAUGCAUGGCUCUGGAAACUGCGGGGCUGGAGUGCAGGAGGGGUAAGCGGAAUUCCUGGUGUAGCGGUGAAAUGCGUAGAUAUCAGGAGGAACACCAGUGGCGAAGGCGGCUUACUGGACGAUGACUGACGCUGAGGCUCGAAAGCGUGGGGAGCAAACAGG
rnacentral:rRNA from 1 species